UCACCUCAUCCGGCGACCUGUGCGACUUGCGCACCUUCAUGUCGUUGAACACCUUGAUGACCUCGUCAUUCACCGUCACACCUGAUGCCUGGGGACACACGUGCGCCACGUUACCCCGCAAGCCCAUUUUUCCCGAUUCUAAGCAGUCGCCAGUGAGUCCCGUUGGUGCAUUACCUGCGUUGAGGUACUGGCAGUUGUUGACUUUUUCUCGGAUGAUGCUGAGCGCGAUGGGUCUGCUGAUGAUGUCAUAGUAGUCGGGCACCUGCGCACAGGAAGAGUGAGACGGGAAGUAGCGUGGUGGCGACGGCGAGGUGGCCAACGGGUGAGCGGACCUGUGUGCGGGUCACCAGCUUCAUGAAGGGCCAGCUGUCAUCGUGGCGGACAAGCUCCACCACUAGGAGCUCACACGCCGACAGCUCGUGGACGCCUUGGUUCCUCCCGGACGAGCGGCGGCUACUCGAGGACGAGGUGGCGGCUAGACGGACUAACUUGCGAGGUUCCGAUGGAGUCGGCAAAGCGUCUGGGGGAGGAGGCACGUUCAAGCGUAAGCAAUGUCUUUAUGAAUUAAUAAUGAAUGAGGGGGGAACUAAUUCGAUGCUAACAGCUCAUUCUCAGAUCACGUGAUCAGCGAUGCCAAAUAGAAUGAUACAGCUCAAUGAAUUCAUUCAUUUUAAUGAUACGACUAGAAAAAAUGUUUUGACUUGUAAUGUCAUGUCCAAAAUGAAAUUUGCGACCUUGACUGAACCCUGACAGAUGUUGCUACAAUACACCCAAGGGAUGUGUCGGCCA